AAGAGUGCCACGAUAAACAGAACCAAAGCCACCUUCUCCAAUGGAAGUUCUGUAAUUUUGGGUGGCAGCUUCUAUGUUGGCCAGACUAAAUGUUUGUAUGGAUAUUGACUUUGCCUUGGUCUCGUCUAUGAUAGCAAAAGAAGAUGAUACCAGCUGCAACAGUCAAUAGAAUAGUUCCACCUGCAACAGAGCCUAUGAUGAUACUUCGGUUUGCUGCUGCUUCUUCUUCACUGGUAGAGAUGCAAAUUCCAGACCUGAUAUUUUAAAUUUUGGAUUAUGUUAUAUAUAUGUAUAUAUAUAUAUAUGUAUGUAUGUGAUUAUUUGAUAAGUGCUUGUGACAAUGUUUCAUACCAUGUGUCAAGUUUUGAGCUGUUGAAGCCAGAUGUAUCUCCUUGGACAAUAUUUUGGUUACAGCCAAUAUAUCUAGAAUCAAACAGGUUUUUAGUUGCUA